AGCAGUCGCCACGGUAAUACGGAGGGUGCAAGCGUUAUCCGGAUUUAUUGGGUUUAAAGGGUCCGUAGGCGGAUCUGUAAGUCAGUGGUGAAAUCUCACAGCUUAACUGUGAAACUGCCAUUGAUACUGCAGGUCUUGAGUAAAUUUGAAGUGGCUGGAAUAAGUAGUGUAGCGGUGAAAUGCAUAGAUAUUACUUAGAACACCAAUUGCGAAGGCAGGUCACUAAGAUUUAACUGACGCUGAUGGACGAAAGCGUGGGGAGCGAACAGGAUUAGAUACCCGAGUAGUCCCUGUCUCUUAUAC
rnacentral:rRNA from 1 species